UACAGAGGUGGCAAGCGUUGUUCGGAAUUACUGGGCGUAAAGGGCGCGUAGGCGGUCUUGCAAGUCCUGUGUGAAAUCCCUCGGCUCAACUGAGGAACUGCACAGGAAACUGCUUGGCUUGAGUUCGGGAGAGGGAAGCGGAAUUCCGGGUGUAGCGGUGAAAUGCGCAGAUAUUAGGAGGAACACCGGUGGCGAAGGCGCCGCUCUGGGCCGAAACUGACGCUGAGGAGCGAAAGCAUGGGUAGCAAACAGG
rnacentral:rRNA from 1 species